CAUUGACCUCUUGAGCUUAUAGUGCUGCUAAUGCAGUAAUUUAGCAAUUGAGCUACAGUAAGAUAUUAUUUAAAAAACACUGAGCUGAUAUCUCUUUAUAAGAUCUCAGCUUUUUUGUUGCAAAACACAUGGGGUUCAUUGACUGUCUUUAUGUAAAUGUUCUGCUGUAUAUGUAAACAGUGGGCAUGAGUCAGUUUAUUUUCCUCUGAUCGCUUUAGGCAGAGACAAACAGCUUCAGGUCAUUUACACUUUAAAGUGCAUCAUGUUUACUGAAGCUUUACUGCUGCUGCUGGCAAGUCUAAACUGUAUUAAUGCAGAUGAACUCUCUCAGCCUGAGUUUCUGACUGUUCGUCCUGAUGGCUCUCUAACUAUCGACUGUAAAGUCUCUUAUUCAGUUACUAGCUAUGGUACAGGCUGGAUCCGUCAGCCUGCAGGAAAACCUCUGGAGUGGAUUGGGUUGAUUGAUACUGGUGGAAACUUAUAUUAUAAAGAUUCACUGAAAAACAAGUUCAGCAUCACCAAAGACACCUCCAGUAAUACAGUUACAUUGAAAGGAAACAAUAUUCAAGCUCAAGACACAGCUGUGUAUUAUUGUGCCAGAGAACACAGUGACAGAAACUAACAGUCUCCCUGUACAAAAACAUGAUCACUGAAAUACAUCAGGUUUUCACAACUGACA